AUUUCCCUCCAUCAUUCCACUUGUUCAUAUGCGUCUUGGCCUCGCUCAUGGCGGACGAUCGAUCGUGCCGGGCCCUGGAAAGUUUGAAUAGCGUGAACUGCUUUCGUAGCGGGUGUUUGGCACCGUUCUCUUGAUUUUAGGGGUGCGGCGGCGACGGUGGCUACGAUGUUCUAAUAAGCGGGGUCCACGCUCUUUACGGACUGAAGCUCUCUUCGUCUACCCUGAAUGAUUGAAGACGAGUCUCGUUUGCCGGUUUGAUACUUUUUGGCCCCGGUGCGGUAGGAUUUUCGUGAAUCGCCGGGAUAGCGCCGCGACGCGGCAAACGACUCCGAGAAGCACAAGUGCAAACCUCUGACCCGACGAUCAGACCGAAUUGCGUCUUCUGCACCGUGUAUCAAUUGUACUGUUGCACGCAAGCUUGAUGAAAGAGUUCCGCAAGAAUUUGGACGGUAGACAGUCCUGCGUCCCGAACUCCGAGGAAGAGCUGCUUGACGAGGCUCAUCAUGGCAUGAGGAGCUAAGCAACUAAGCCUCGAGUCAGAAGCUACGGGAUCCGUCAUUCGCGUCCUGCAUCCUGCAUUUUGAAACAUUCUCCAUGUUUAUUUUUCUGGAUAUGAGAUCUUGACACUGCGUCCGGAAUGACUCUACCGUUGGUUCCAGUGCCUGCUCGCCCCCGUCUUUGUCGAUCUGUCUCGUUCUUGUCAGAUAGAGUCUGCUCCAUUUCUUUUUCUUGGCAAAGUGGCAUGGAUGGGUUCGCUAGACUCCACGUCCGUUUCUCCCUCGGGAUACAGGCGCACUGGAUGGAUCCUGACACUGAAAUCCAUCCCCUCUUUGUGUGUACCACUCCUCACGCGCCGUUUCGUUGUCUUCUCCGAUGCGAGCACAGCUGCGGACCGUGCGCACCGCUCCGCUGCCUCCCGCGAACGCGAAGAGAAGCGACACAGCACACCGGGGGCCGGCGAAGCCAGAGAGCAACGAAUGGAUGAACGGUUUCACCGAUGCGAACGAGUGUCCCAUUGAUUUGAGAGGGUGAAAAUAACGUUUGUCAACAUCGAAGACGUCUUCGACUGGGUUGAUCCAUGGGCAAUAGCACGAUAAGGAGAGCAGCGCAACAUGAAUGUCGAUUGUGCACUACGCAACCGUUCCGCAUUGAUCGAAAGCGACGUUAUCUAAGAACGGAACAGAAGAAGGCGGGAAGCUCAAGCUACGCUUCGUGUUUCUUGGAUCGCUGAGCUACGAAAAGAUCUGGUAUGUAUGUCGAUUUGUAGGCGACCACACGAUUGAAUCGCUUCUAGUCCUGGUGGCCUCGUAACGGCCAAUCGUACCUUGUUUGCGAUCAGCGGCCCGCCAGUGUUUGAGUAGUCGUAUUGAGGUCUACCGUUUUCGGUGCAUACAGGCUCGGUGAAUGCGACAAACAUCCGUCUGUCCUGAGGUAAGCGUUCGUGCUUCAGUGCGACACCGAUUCUGAGCAGUUCUACAAGCGACACUUGUCAUCGAAGCGCCUUGCUUUUUCUUUCCAUCUGUGUCUCUUCAUCACCGUUCGGAUCUAUAUUAUGCGAGCUUUAUAUUCUGUGGCUUUUCGACAGUAUACCUAAAAGGACGCACCGCGUGCAAUGGACUGACGAGCAGACAGUCACAUGGGCAGUGUUUGGCGAUUCUAUCUUUGGGAGCACGACCUUCGGGCUAUGCACGAACAGAAGCGUCAUUCGUGCACCAGAUGAGCAUAGAGUGACUGACGCGUAAAAGCGAUGCUCUUUUUCGUAGGCUGGUAAUGACAGCAUCCCAAAUCUCAGCAACAUUGCUUCGAUCCACUGAAUUCAUUCCUUUUAUUGAAUACUUGCGAGAAAAACAUACAAGAAGAAAUAGGGCUUGCUUUAGAGGGGUAUUCCAGAGCGCAUGGCCCCAGCUAUAACGCCAGCGUUUCUCGAUGUCGCCCUUGUGUCGAUAUCGCUGACCCGUUGCGUGCUGCCGGAGACAGACUGCUUGGAAAAAACGACCUCCAUCGGUGCACAUCUGCUUCAUCCACGCAAAAAUAAAAUCGAA